rnacentral:rRNA from 1 species
GAUGAACGCUGGCGGCGUGCCUAAUACAUGCAAGUCGAGCGAACAGACGAGGAGCUUGCUCCUCUGACGUUAGCGGCGGACGGGUGAGUAACACGUGGAUAACCUACCUAUAAGACUGGGAUAACUUCGGGAAACCGGAGCUAAUACCGGAUAAUAUAUUGAACCGCAUGGUUCAAUAGUGAAAGACGGUUUUGCUGGCACUUAUCGAUGGAUCCCCGCCGCAUUAGGUAGUUGGUAAGGUAACGGCUUACCACGGCAACGAUGCGUAGCCGACCUGAGAGAGUGAUCGGCCACACUGGAACUGAGACACGGUCCAGACUCCUACGGGAGGCAGCAGUAGGGAAUCUUCCGCAAUGGGCGAAAGCCUGACGGAGCAACGCCGCGUGAGUGAUGAAGGUCUUCGGAUCGUAAAACUCUGUUAUUAGGGAAGAACAAAUGUGUAAGUAACUAUGCACGUCUUGACGGUACCUAAUCAGAAAGCCACGGCUAACUACGUG